UUCACUGAGAGUUUGAUCCUGGCUCAGGACGAACGCUGGCGGCGUGCGUAACACAUGCAAGUUGGACGCGAAUUUAUGUUUAAUGUAUUUAUACAAGAGGCAUAGAUUUGAGUAGCGAACGGGUGAGUACAACAUGAGAAGCUAUCCUUCAGCGGGGGACAACGUCUGGAAACGGACGCUAAUACCCCAUGCGCCGAGAGGUAAAAGCAGCGAUGCGCUGGAGGAGGUGCUCGUGUCCUAUCAGCUUGUUGGUGAGGUAACGGCUCACCAAGGCGACGACGGGUAGCCGGCCUGAGAGGGUGUACGGCCACACUGGAACUGAGACACGGUCCAGACUCCUACGGGAGGCAGCAGUGGGGAAUAUUGGGCAAUGGGAGGAAUCCUGACCCAGCGACGCCGCGUGAACGAAGACGGCCUUCGGGUUGUAAAGUUCUUUUAUGUGGGAAGAAGGACGUGACGGUACCACAUGAAUAAGCCCCGGCUAACUACGUGCCAGCAGCCGCGGUAAUACGUAGGGGGCGAGCGUUGUCCGGAAUUA
rnacentral:rRNA from 1 species